rnacentral:rRNA from 1 species
UAGGGAAUCUUCCGCAAUGGGCGAAAGCCUGACGGAGCAACGCCGCGUGAGUGAUGAAGGUCUUCGGAUCGUAAAACUCUGUUAUUAGGGAAGAACAAAUGUGUAAGUAACUAUGCACGUCUUGACGGUACCUAAUCAGAAAGUCACGGCUAACUACGUGCCAGCAGCCGCGGUAAUACGUAGGUGGCAAGCGUUAUCCGGAAUUAUUGGGCGUAAAGCGCGCGUAGGCGGUUUUUUAAGUCUGAUGUGAAAGCCCACGGCUCAACCGUGGAGGGUCAUUGGAAACUGGAAAACUUGAGUGCAGAAGAGGAAAGUGGAAUUCCAUGUGUAGCGGUGAAAUGCGCAGAGAUAUGGAGGAACACCAGUGGCGAAGGCGACUUUCUGGUCUGUAACUGACGCUGAUGUGCGAAAGCGUGGGGAUCAAACAGG